rnacentral:rRNA from 1 species
UACGUAGGGUCCAAGCGUUGUCCGGAAUUAUUGGGCGUAAAGAGCUCGUAGGCGGUUCGUCGCGUCUGGUGUGAAAGUCCAUCGCUUAACGGUGGAUCUGCGCUGGAUACGGGCGGACUGGAGUGCGGUAGGGGAGACUGGAAUUCCCGGUGUAACGGUGGAAUGUGUAGAUAUCGGGAAGAACACCAAUGGCGAAGGCAGGUCUCUGGGCCGUCACUGACGCUGAGGAGCGAAAGCGUGGGGAGCGAACAGG